rnacentral:rRNA from 1 species
UACGUAGGGGGCAAGCGUUGUCCGGAAUUAUUGGGCGUAAAGAGCGCGUAGGCGGUCCGGUAAGUCGGUUGUGAAAGUCGGGGGCUCAACCCUCGGAUGCCGAUCGAUACUGUCGGGCUAGAGUCCGGAAGAGGCGAGUGGAAUUCCUGGUGUAGCGGUGAAAUGCGCAGAUAUCAGGAGGAACACCAAUGGCGAAGGCAGCUCGCUGGGACGGUAACUGACGCUGAGGCGCGAAAGCGUGGGGAGCAAACAGG